ACCUGCGGAGGGAUCAUUACCGAGUUAUACAACUCAUCAACCCUGUGAACAUACCUAAAACGUUGCUUCGGCGGGAACAGACGGCCCCGUAACACGGGCCGCCCCCGCCAGAGGACCCCUAACUCUGUUUUUAUAAUGUUUUUCUGAGUAAACAAGCAAAUAAAUUAAAACUUUCAACAACGGAUCUCUUGGCUCUGGCAUCGAUGAAGAACGCAGCGAAAUGCGAUAAGUAAUGUGAAUUGCAGAAUUCAGUGAAUCAUCGAAUCUUUGAACGCACAUUGCGCCCGCCAGUAUUCUGGCGGGCAUGCCUGUUCGAGCGUCAUUACAACCCUCAGGCCCCCGGGCCUGGCGUUGGGGAUCGGCGGAAGCCCCCUGCGGGCACACGCCGUCCCUCAAAUACAGUGGCGGUCCCGCCGCAGCUUCCAUUGCGUAGUAGCUAACACCUCGCAACUGGAGAGCGGCGCGGCCACGCCGUAAAACACCCAACUUCUGAAUGUUGACCUCGAAUCAGGUAGGAAUACCCGCUGAACUUAAGCAUAUCAAU
rnacentral:rRNA from 1 species